GAUGAAGAACGCAGCGAAAUGCGAUACGUAAUGUGAAUUGCAAAUUCAGUGAAUCAUCGAGUCUUUGAACGCACAUUGCGCCCCCUGGUAUUCCGGGGGGCAUGCCUGUCCGAGCGUCAUUGCUGCCCUCAAGCACGGCUUGUGUGUUGGGCCCCGUCCUCCGAUCCCGGGGGACGGGCCCGAUAGGCAGCGGCGGCACCGCGUCCGGUCCUCGAGCGUAUGGGGCUUUGUCACCCGCUCUGUAGGCCCGGCCGGCGCUUGCCGAUCAACCCAAAUUUUUAUCCAGGUUGACCUCGGAUCAGGUAGGGAUACCCGCUGAACUUAAGCAUAUCAAUAAGCGGAGGA
rnacentral:misc_RNA from 1 species